rfam:Aedes aegypti strain Liverpool supercont1.840 genomic scaffold, whole genome shotgun sequence.
GGGUCCGUAGCCUUGAGGUUACGUUUUCGCUUCAUAAGCGGAUGGUCAUGGGUUCGAUUCCCAGCCCAUCCA